rnacentral:snoRNA from 1 species
GUGCCCUGCCUGUGAUGAAACCAGUGUUGGUAGGGACAUCUGAGAUCUGAUGAAUGCCAACUGUUUUCUGAUGGCGGUGC